rnacentral:rRNA from 1 species
GUAGGUGGCAAGCGUUGUCCGGAAUUAUUGGGCGUAAAGCGCGCGCAGGUGGGUUCUUUAAGUCUGAUGUGAAAGCCCCCGGGCUCAACCGGGGAGGGUCAUUGGAAACUGGGGAACUUGAGUGCAGGAGAGGAAAGUGGAAUUCCACGUGUAGCGGUGAAAUGCGUAGAUAUGUGGAGGAACACCAGUGGCGAAGGCGACUUUCUGGCCUGUAACUGACACUGAGGCGCGAAAGCGUGGGGAGCAAACAGGAUUAGAUACCCUGGUAGUCCACGCCGUAAACGAUGAGUGCUAAGUGUUGGGGGGUUUCCGCCCCUCAGUGCUGCAGCUAACGCAUUAAGCACUCCGCCUGGGGAGUACGGUCGCAGGACUG